rnacentral:rRNA from 1 species
CACGUAGGGCGCAAGCGUUUGUCCGGAAUUAUUGGGCGUAAAGAGCUCGUAGGCGGUCUGUUACGUCUGCUGUGAAACUCGGGGCUUAACCCGCAGCCUGCAGUGGAUACGGGCAGACUAGAGGUAGGUAGGGGAGAAUGGAAUUCCCGGUGUAGCGGUGAAUGCGCAGAUAUCGGGAGGAACACCGGUGGCGAAGGCGGUCUCUGGGCCUUACCUGACCGCUGAGGAGCGAAAGCGUGGGAGCGAACAGG